rnacentral:rRNA from 1 species
AUGGACAGGGCCUGUCAUUGGUGUCAAGAUAUAAUUAUUAUGUUCUCUAUUUUCUUUAUCUUCGGCGCCACCAAAGGAAGGCCGACUUCUUCCCUGGGUCUUCUCCCUACAAUCGUAACAAGGUGCCGCACUGCUCCUCCCUACAGCCCCAACGGCAAGGCAGCAACAACCCUGCCAUCUUUCAUUGGUGAUGCUCCUCCCCGCAGCAUGAUAGUUUGGAUUUCUGCGGCAUAUCACUACGUUUUGUCUCUUUGUGUAGACCUUUUCCUAUUUUAUUAUCAGCUGUUUGUCGAGAGGUCAGAGCGGCAAAUCCUUAUUAGCCACGCCCUUGUAAGUUCCAUGUACUGGGAUUUUAUUUCCUGA